AACGAACGCUGGCGGCAGGCCUAACACAUGCAAGUCGAGCGGAUGAAGAGAGCUUGCUCUCUGAUUUAGCGGCGGACGGGUGAGUAAUGCCUAGGAAUCUGCCUGGUAGUGGGGGAUAACGUUCCGAAAGGAACGCUAAUACCGCGUACGUCCUACGGGAGAAAGCAGGGGACCUUCGGGCCUUGCGCUAUCAGAUGAGCCUAGGUCGGAUUAGCUAGUUGGUGAGGUAAUGGCUCACCAAGGCGACGAUCCGUAACUGGUCUGAGAGGAUGAUCAGUCACACUGGAACUGAGACACGGUCCAGACUCCUACGGGAGGCGGCAGUGGGGAAUAUUGGACAAUGGGCGAAAGCCUGAUCCGGCCAUGCCGCGUGUGUGAAGAAGGUCUUCGGAUUGUAAAGCACUUUAAGUUGGGAGGAAGGGCAGUAAGUUAAUACCUUGCUGUUUUGACGUUACCGACAGAAUAAGCACCGGCUAACUUCGUGCCAGCCGCCGCCGUAAAAC
rnacentral:rRNA from 1 species